rnacentral:rRNA from 1 species
GAAUAUUGCGCAAUGGGGGCAACCCUGACGCAGCGACGCCGCGUGAGUGAGGAAGGCCUUCGGGUCGUAAAGCUCUGUCAGCAGGGAAGAAGUGUGAGGGGGUUAACAGCCUUUUCAUUUGACGGUACCUGCAGAGGAAGAACCGGCUAACUCCGUGCCAGCAGCCGCGGUAAUACGGAGGGUGCGAGCGUUGUUCGGAAUUACUGGGCGUAAAGGGCGCGCAGGCGGCUUUAUAAGUCAGAUGUGAAAGUCCACGGCUUAACUGUGGAAGUGCAUUUGAAACUGUGAGGCUUGAGUACCAGAGGGGAAGGUGGAAUUCCCGGUGUAGAGGUGAAAUUCGUAGAUAUCGGGAGGAAUACCGGUGGCGAAGGCGACUUUCUGGCUGGAUACUGACGCUGAGGCGCGAAAGCGUGGGGAGCAAACAG